rnacentral:rRNA from 1 species
GUCCCAGUUCGGAUCGCAGGCUGCAACCCGCCUGCGUGAAGUUGGAAUCGCUAGUAAUCGCGGAUCAGAAUGCCGCGGUGAAUACGUUCCCGGGUCUUGUACACACCGCCCGUCACACCAUGGGAGUCGGGAAUGCCCGAAGUCAGUGACCCAACCUUAGGGAGGGAGCUGCCGAAGGCAGGCCUGGUGACUGGGGUGAAGUCGUAACAAGGUACC